rnacentral:rRNA from 1 species
CACAGACAGCCAGGAUGUUGGCUUAGAAGCAGCCAUCAUUUAAAGAAAGCGUAAUAGCUCACUGGUCGAGUCGGCCUGCGCGGAAGAUGUAACGGGGCUAAACCAUGCACCGAAGCUGCGGCAGCGGACGUAUCACCCAAGCAGAUUCACUGAAGUGGAUAACGAUUGACGGAGCGCAGCGACGUCAAUGCGCCAUCAAAGUCGAGUCGACUUCGGGAUACGUCCGUUGGGUAGGGGAGCGUUCUGUAAGCCGUCGAAGGUGUGCUGUGAGGCAUGCUGGAGGUAUCAGAAGUGCGAAUGCUGACAUAAGUAACGAUAAAGCGGGUGAAAAGCCCGCUCGCCGGAAGACCAA